rnacentral:lncRNA from 10 species
GGUACUUCAGCCCUUCGCAGCCCGACGCUAGGGGCCUGGCAGGGGGCAGCAAGAGACCGCGGAUUACCUGAAGCUGAGUAAUUUAUAAAGAAAAGAAGUUCAAUUGGCUCACAGUUCUGCAGGCUGUACAGGAAGCAUGGCACUGACAUCUUCUCAGCUUCUGGUGAGGGCCUCAGGAAGUUUACAAUCAUGGUGGAAGGCAAAGGGGGAGCAAGCGUCUCAUGUGGCAAGAGGGAACAAACAGGAGACAGGAGGUGCCACACACUUUUAAACAACAGGAUCUCACAAGAGCUUACUCUUACAAGGACAGCACCAAGAAUAUGAGGAAUCUGCCCGCAUGACCCAAACACUUCCCUCCAGGCCCCACCUCCAACACUGGGGAUUACAUCUCAACACUGGAUUUGGAGGGGACAUCCAAACUAUAUCAAGGCUGUACAAGAAGCUUGGUGCCAGCAUUUGCUUCUACGCAGAGCCUCAGGCUGCUUCUACUCACAGUAAAAGGCAAAAGGGCAUGCAAAGAUCAUGUGGCAAGAGAAGAAGUGAGGGAUGGGGGAUGCCAUGCUCUUUUUAACAACCAGCUCUCAUGGGAACCAAGAGGGACAACUCACUCAUUAUAGCACCAAGCCUGUAUCCCUCCCAUUAUGCCCUACCUCCAACAUCGAGGAUCAAAUUUCAACAUGAGGUUUGGAGGCUCAAAUAUCCAAACAAUGGCAUUAUGUCAGGAUCAUAAAGCUAAUGUUUGUGAAACCAGGAUCUGAACCCAAGCUAUUGCUUCUAGAACCUGUACUCUUAAGCCCUUGCUUAUACUGCAUUUGAAAUUAUGCUUCAUUGUAUAAAAAGUCCUUUUCACCUCAAGCUUAUAGAGAAGUCACCUUGUUCUUAAAAAGUCCUUUACACUUCAAGUUCAUAAAGCUCAGGCACAUAUAUUUUCUUCCAGUACGUUCAUUAUUAUUUUUCUUGGUUUUCCUUUAAAUCUUUGAAUCAUCUGGAUUUUAUUUUGGAAUGAGAAAUGAAGUAGAAAUUUAUUUUUGUUUCUUUUCAGAAUGGCUGGUCAAUUGUCCUAACAUCAUUUAAUGAAUAGUAUUUAUUUCCCCUUUGCUUUGAAAUACUACUUUAUCAUAUACUAAAUUAUAAAGUAAUCUUUUAUUAUCAUUUUUGAAUGACUGCAUUCCAGUUGUGGAAGAUAUUACUCAAAGUCUGUUGUGAUUAUCUAACUUAAGUGUUGAUAUGAAGAAAGGAAAGUAGGUUUCAGCCUGAUUUAAGAAUUUUCCUCCUCUCCCUCUCCCUCUCCCUCUCCCUCUCCCUCCCCCUCCCCCUGCCCCUCCCUGUCUCCCUCUCUCUCUCCCUCUCUUUCUACGUCUCCCUCUCUUGCCGAGCCUGGACUGUACUGCCAUGAUCUCGGCUCACUGCAACCUCUCUGCCUCAGGCUCCCAUGAUUCUCCUGCCUCGGCCUGCUGAGUGCCUGGGAUUCCAGGCACGCACCACCACUUCUGACUGAUUUUUGUAUUUUUGGUGGAGACGGGGUUUCACUGUGUUGACCGGGCUGGUCUCCAGCUCCUGGCCUCGGGUGAUCUGCCCCCCUCAGCCUCCCGAGGUGCUGGGAUUGCAGACGGAGUCUCGCUCACUCAACGCUCAAUGUUGUCCAGGCUGGAGUGCAGUGGUGUGAUCUCAGCUCGCUACAACCUCCACCUCCCAGCCGCCUGCCUUGGCAUCCCAAAGUGCUAAGAUUAUAGCCUCUGCCUGCCCGCCACCCCGUCUAGGAAGUGAGCAGCGUCUCUGCCUGACCGCCCAUCGUCUGGGAUAUGAGGAGCCCCUCUGCCCAGCUGCCCCGUCUAGGAAGUGAGGAGCGCCUCUGCCCAGCCGCCAACCCGUCUAGGAAGUGAGGAGCGUCUCUGCCUGGCCACCCAUCAUCUGGGAUGUGAGGAGCGCCUCUGCCCGGCCGCCCUGUCUGGGAAGUGAGGAGUGCCUCUGCCCAGCUGCCCCAAAUGGGAAGUGAGGACCGCCUCUGCCUGGCCGCCCUGUCUGGGAAGUGAGGAGCGCCUCUGCCCGGCCGCCCCAUCUGGGAUGUGAGGAGCGCCUCUGCCCGGCCGCCACCCCGCCUGGGAGGCAAGGAGCGCCUCUGACUGGCAGCCCCAUCUGGCAACUGAGGAGCGCCUCUGCCCGGCCGCCACCCCAUCUGGGAAGUGGGGAGCGCCUCUGCCCGGCCGCCCCAUCUGGGAUGUGAGGAGCGCCUCUGCCCGGCCGCCCCGUCUGGGAAGUGAGGAGCGCCUCUGCCCGGCCACCCUGUCUGGGAUGUGGGGAGCGCCUCUGCCCAGCCGCCACCCCGUCUAGGAAGUGGGGAGCACCUCUGCCCGGCCGCCCUGUCUGGAAAGUGAGGAGCACCUCUUCCCAGCCGCCACCCUGUCUGGGAUGUGAGGAGCGCCUCUGCCCGGCCGCCCCGUCUGAGAGGUGAGGAGCGCCUCUGCCCGGCAGCUGCCCCGUCUGGAAAGUGAGGAGCAUCUCUGCCCGGCAGCCCCGUCUGGGAAGUGGGGAGCGCCUCUGCCCAGCCGCCCCAUCUGGGAGGUGGGGAGCACCUCUGCCCGGCCGCCCCAUCUGGGAGGUGGGGAGCACCUCUGCCCGGCCGCCCAUCAUCUGGGAAGUGAGGAGCGCCUCUGCCUGGCCGCCCAUCAUCUGUGAUGUGAGGAGCACCUCUGCCCGGCCGCCCAUCGUCUGGGAGGUGAGGAGCGCCUCUGCCCGGCCGCCCAUCAUCUGUGAUGUGAGGAGCACCUCUGCCGGGCCGCCCCGUCUGGGAAGUGGGGAACGCCUCUGCCCAGCUGCCCAUCGUCUGGGAAGUGAGGAGCGCCUGUGCCCGGCCACCCAUCAUCUGUGAUGUGAGGAGCGCCUCUGCCCGGCUGCCCCAUCUGGGAGGUGAGGAGCGCCUCCGCCCGGCCGCCCUGUCUGGGAGGUGAGGAGUGUCUCUGCCCGCCCGCCCAUCAUCUGGGAAGUGAGGAGCGCCUCUGCCCAGCCGCCCAUCGUCUGGGAUGUGAGGAGCGCCUCUGCCCAGCCGCCCAUCGUCUGGGAUGUGAGGAGCGCCUCUGCCUGGCUGCCCCAUCUGGGAAGUGAGAAGCGCCUCUGCCCGGCCAUCUCAUCUGGGAGGUGUACCCAACAGCUCCGAAGAGACAGCGACCAUCGAGAACGGGCCAUGAUGACGAUGGCGCUUUUGUCGAAAAGAAAAGGGGGAAAUGUGGGGAAAAGAAAGAGAGAUCAGAUUGUUACUGUGUCUGGUAGAAAGAAGUAGACAUAGGAGACUCCAUUUUGUUCUGUACUAAGGAAAAUUCUUCUGCUUUGGGAUGCUGUUAAUCUAUAACCUUACCCCCAACCCCGUGCUCUCUGAAACAUGUGCUGUGUCAACUCAGGGUUAAAUGGAUUAAGGGUGGUGCAAGAUGCGCUUUGUUAAACAGAUGCUUGAAGGCAGCAUGCUCGUUAAGAGUCAUCACCACUCCCUAAUCUCAAGUACCCAGGGACACAAACACUGCGGAAGGCCACAGGGACCUCUGCCUAGGAAAACCAGAGACCUCUGUUCACGUGUUUAUCUGCUGACCUUCUAUCCACUAUUAUCCUAUGACCCUGCCACAUACCCCUCUCCGAGAAACACCCAAGAAUGAUCAAUAAAUACUAAAAAAAAAAAAGAAUUUUCCUUUAUAGAUUAUUUUUCUUUUUAACAAAAUUAAAAGGAUUUAGUUAAGCAUAUUUUGGUUCAAACUUUCCAGUUGUUAUAGAAGUGUGAAAAAUGCAAACUGAGCUUGAAGGAAUAUUGAAUAUCUUGUCCAACCCCCGUUAUUUAUAGAUAAGGAAACUGAGGUCCAAAAUGGUAAA